rnacentral:rRNA from 1 species
GAUGAACGCUGGCGGCGUGCCUAAUACAUGCAAGUCGAGCGAACAUACGAUGCGCUUGCUCCGCACUCGAUUGCGGCGAGCAGUUGCGUAACACUUAGAAACCCUUCCUUAACCUCCCGGAUAACUGCGGGAAACCGGAGCAAAUACGUGCUAAUAUCGCAUACCAGAUUAUUCAGUAUUGAAAGACGGUGUUGCUCUCACUCGUAGAUGGAUCCGCGCUGCAUUAGCUAGUUGGUAAGGUAACGGCUCACCAAGGCAACGAUGCGUAGCCGACCUGAGAGGGUGAUCGGCCACACUGGAACUGAGACACGGUCCAGACUCCUACGGGAGGCAGCAGUAGGGAAUCUUCCGCAAUGGGCGAAAGCCUGACGGAGCAACGCCGCGUGAGUGAUGAAGGUUUUCGGAUCGUAAAACUCUGUUAUUAGGGAAGAACAAAUGCGUAAGUAACUAUGCACGUCUUGACGGUACCUAAUCAGAAAGCCACGGCUAACUACGUG